rnacentral:rRNA from 1 species
GAUGAACGCUAGCUACAGGCUUAACACAUGCAAGUCGAGGGGAAACGACAUCGAAAGCUUGCUUUUGAUGGGCGUCGACCGGCGCACGGGUGAGUAACGCGUAUCCAACCUGCCCAUCACUUGGGGAUAACCUUGCGAAAGUAAGACUAAUACCCAAUGAUAUCUCUAGAAGACAUCUGAAAGAGAUUAAAGAUUUAUCGGUGAUGGAUGGGGAUGCGUCUGAUUAGCUUGUUGGCGGGGUAACGGCCCACCAAGGCAACGAUCAGUAGGGGUUCUGAGAGGAAGGUCCCCCACAUUGGAACUGAGACACGGUCCAAACUCCUACGGGAGGAAGCAGUGAGGAAUAUUGGUCAAUGGGCGAGAGCCUGAACCAGCCAAGUAGCGUGCAGGAAGACGGCCCUAUGGGUUGUAAACUGCUUUUAUAAGGGAAUAAAGUGAGAGUCGUGACUCUUUUUGUAUGUACCUUAUGAAUAAGGACCGGCUAAUUCCGUG